UACGUAGGGGGCGAGCGUUGUCCGGAAUUACUGGGCGUAAAGGGUGCGUAGGCGGUUAAUUAAGUUGGAUGUGAAAUUCCCGGGCUUAACUUGGGAGCUGCAUUCAAAACUGGUCAACUAGAGUUCAGGAGAGGGAAGCGGAAUUCCUAGUGUAGCGGUGACAUGCGUAGAUAUUAGGAGGAACACCGGUGGCGAAGGCGGCUUUCUGGACUGACACUGACGCUGAGGCACGAAAGCGUGGGGAGCAAACAGGAUUAGAUACCCUGGUAGUCCACGCUGUAAACGAUGAAUACUAGGUGUAGGGGGUAUGAACUCCCUCUGUGCCGCAGCAAACGCAAUGAGUAUUCCGCCUGGGGAGUACGGCCGCAAGGUUGAA
rnacentral:rRNA from 1 species